UGUAAUUCGUUAAAUAAAAGUGUGUUACGAAAAUAAUAAGCAUCAGAUUACGCAUUUUCACUUUACGUCGUGGCCUGACCACGGUUGUCCAGACUACCCCACGUUGCUGCUAAAUUUCUGCUAUCGGGUGAGACAGCUUAUCCCAUAUGAAAGUGGGAAGCAACUUCUUGUGCAUUGUAGUGCUGGUGUUGGUAGGACUGGAUCAUACAUCAUCAUUGACGCCAUGCUGCACUUGGUUAGAACAAAGCAGCUUGAUGAUAUAUACAACUACUUUGAAAGUAUUCGAGAAGAUCGCGUAUAAAUUUGUUUACAGUGCUAUUUACGAAGCACUGUGUUGUGAUUACACUGGAAUAAUGUCAUCAGAAUUUCAAAGCACUUUCCGAGAAUUAAUAUCAAAAAAGCAUAAUGGAAAGUUCCUUCUGGAAAAUGAAUUUGAGAGGUUAAACAGCGUUAAUAUACCUUUUGGUGAAAAAAAUUAUAAAGCUGCUUUGUUAGAGGAAAAUGUAGCGAAAAACCGAUAUCCAAAUAUACUAGCAAGUGACUUGUUUCGUGUAUAUGUGCCUCAAACCACAAAUUCUACCGAUUAUAUCAAUGCUGUCUUUGUUAAUGGUUACAUAAAGAACGAUGGUAUAAUAGCUACGCAAGCACCAUUAGUUGAAACAUUGGAUGAUUUUUGGGAGGCUAUCAUGGCAAACAAUGUGACUACGAUUGUAAUGUGAAAUAGCACUGACGAGAAUUAUCAUAACUAUCCAUCUUUUUGUCCAGUUGAGGGAUCGGAAAAGUUUGGUAAUCUUACAGUGAAUGUUGAAUCAAGCACUCGUGCUGGUGAUAUCAAUAUGCAGUCCUUCAUUAUAUCAAACAAAACGUUCUUUGCUCACUUUAAUUGGUGAAGUUUUAAAGUCGCAACAAUUUUAUGGAGAUGGCACCAUAUUGGUUACCUGCAGUGAUGGGGCAAAUCGAAGUGGAACUUUCAUAGCGUGUAUGAAUGCAUUGGACCAACUAAAAGUUGAACAGCAUGCUGAUGUGUCUCAAACUGUACGAAGAAUGAGAUUAGCAAGACCUGAGUUUGUUGAAAACAUGCGACAGUAUCAGUUCAUUUACACCGUGUUGAAUAAGUACUUGGAUUCAUUUGCAACGUACUCCAACUUUAAUUAAUUCCUAGCGCAACAGAAAAAGACCAAUUAAUUAAUUUGUAAACAUUUACAGCGGAGCGUUACCUUGAUCCCAGAAACAAUAAGAAUACCAUCUAUUUGAUCAAGCGGCCAUAUGACAAACUGUUUUGUAAAGGAACAUGAAAUAUGUAAUGAAUCAUGUGAGACUGGAAUAAGCGCUUCUUUUUUAAUGUAAAAUAUUAGUGCAUUUUGAAUAAUAUUUUGGUGGUUUAAGUUGCAAUUUUUUCUAAUUAAUUAAAAUGUAUUUAAGAUUUUUGUUCAUUUGGGAAGGAUGAAGGAACAGGUUUUGGGAAGUUCUUUAUUCUUAUGUCACAAAAUCAGAAAAUAAUUAAAAAUCCUCACUGCCAUCGUUUGCGGUUCGUUUUACUCAUACCCAGCUUUUUCUUGUACAUAUCCAUAUAAAACAUUGUUUUUCUCGCCUAUUACAAGAUGUGGAUUUGUAUUGCU